AUUUCUAUUACAAACAUUCAAACGACUCAUCGCGUCGGGUCGAACGAAGAAUUUAAUAGUCGGCGAUUUACUAACGAACUACUGCUGUUUUUCACCUUUGUUGGCAGACUGGUGUGUAAUCGAUACCAAAAAAGACUAGAGAACAAGACAGUCACCCUCGAUCGUCGCGAAGGUAAAUGCACUACCAUAUUUGUGUAAUAUAAUGUGGCGAUAUCGUGAACUUAUCCGAUAUAAAUAUAUUGGACAUAAGCUAAAAGCCCAAAGCUCAACCGGCUAAUAAGAGAGGGCAAUUUGUAGUCUUAGAUCGGAGCUUAUAGCUUGAUUUAAAUUCACUAAAGUUCACCCAAAAGUUAGCUUCAUAUUUCAAAACGAUUCGCCAUUUUUAGGUAUGAAUUUUGAGUCGGUUGUCAGGCGCUAUUGUCUAAGACAGAAUUAGAUUUUACGAUAGUGAUAUUGGCGUCGUCUAUAAGUCUAUUUAAUUUUGGCUGAGACCAAGUUGGCACGUUACCUUUUAGUUUCAAAGUAGUCAUAUAUUCGAGUGCUUUGUUUAAAUCAACUUGCAAGUACAGUAUUAUUAAAAAGGCAGUAUUUUAAUACAGAAUUUUGUUGCUAGACGUAGAAUUCAGACAAUUUAUAUGGCGGAUUCCCGUCUUGUUUAUGAACUUGGAUUGCGAUAAUUCACGAAAUUAUCACACUGACGAGUACAGAUUGCUAAAUGUGUGAAUGGAAGAGUUCUAGGAACAUAGUUUGCUCUGGGGAAACUUCUCAAGUACAUAUAGAAUUUCAUUUCGACGUCAAAUUAGUAUUCUAAUUUCGUUCCUGUGAACUUUUAAUAAACUAGAAAGCUUGAUGUAUGCUUGUGUCCCGCUGUUUGUAAGCCUAUAAAGCCAUCUUCCUUUAAUUGUAACGCUAAAGAGCGUGUAAAAAUAGUGUAAUUUGCGAGCAUCGUGUUUAAAUUUUAGCUUUUCAACACUUUAGGGUCUAAACGAACGCCAAAGUUCAAUGUUUACAUUUUGUAACGAUUCUUUCUCAAAAUACUCGAAGUACUUCAAAUUGACAACCAACGUCAAAAAUCUUUAGCGUAGUUAGUAUCUGUGGUGCCCCUAAGUGGCUGUAUUCUUGGGGGCCUUUUUAUUUUGUUUUUAUAUACCUAACGCUUCUCCGUAAACUUAUUUUCAAAUAUAUACAAAUUAAACUUCGUAACUUUAAACAGUUCGUAGCUUGAGGUCGCUCGCCAUCACGCUGUUCUGUGCCGACCAAUAUUUUAUAUAUCAUUAAUAUUUUGGUACUAAAUAAUUUAUCAACGAAUAUAAACAUCUUAGGAACUUGACCACAAUAUAAUUCACCAGCAAAAUACUAUAUUUGGGGGAUUAAAAAAAUAACAGAAAAUCGAGCGUUCGCUGACGAAGAAGCCAAACUUUACGUCUGUAGUGUUUCCGGUAAAAUAAGUACACUUUUGUUCUGAUAAGGGUUUGGCAAGUAGGCGGAUAAUGAUUCAACUUCUCGUGGCUUUUAGCUGUUUUCCGCCACCCAUGACUUUUUAAAUAUCUUAAUAAUUUCCAUACAAAUAAACGUGGAAAAUAUUUUUAGCCGCUUUCGAAAGGGAACGAUAUUGUUACUUCGUAAAUUUUUCCUGGAACUUUGUGUCUCGAAAAGCGCCUGUUUUGUCUUGAUUUUUUUUAAGCUUCAAGUGUUAAUCGUUCCUGACACAUUGUGAAACUUUAAUACGGAGACAAAACAAUUCAUAUUUGGCUUCAGGCAAAUCCUAGUUUUUAAUUUGUUCGCCUUUUAAUAAUUAUUUACAAAAUCGGAAAUUCCAAAACACAAAAUUGCAAAUUUUAGUGACAAUUGCAACUAUAGUUCAAUCUUAACUAUAUGGUUCAAUGUUUAGACAAAACUCAUAAAAUUUAUGUAUAUAAAGUAAAGUAAAGCCCAUUUUCCAAGUGAAAUACGUCUUGUUAGUGGUUAAAUUAGAAUAAUCUUUCAAUCUUUUGGCUAUCAUGUAAAUCUAAACGACUCUUGUGCAUUUCUAUAGAUAAGGCAAGAAUGUUUUCCCAAAUAAUCAGUAUUUUGUUCAAAUUUGGAAUGGUGGCUCUUGAUAGAUAGCCUAUAAAAUUGGCAAGGAAAAAGUUUUGGUUAUCAAUAAUUAAAGAGUUAAGACUUAUGUGGCUUUUUCGUUUUGAAAAUGUUUGCAUUUUAGGUAAAGUUUGUCAAAUUUAGGCAAGUUGCUAAUGUCAUGUCAUGAUAUUUAAAUUUUAUUUAAAAACAUAUGUGAGUCAUAUGACAUUUUAUGAGUAUUUUAAUAUUUUUGACUAAACUUUAAAUUAAUGCAUGCAGAGUCUACUUUACAUCAAUGCAUUAUUUAGAAGGUUGCAAUUUCAAUUUUUGCCUUUAUUUGGGUUAUAUGUUGUGCCACAGUCUUCUUAGAGUUUAUAAAGUGGACAUUUAAAAGCAAAUUUCACAGCAUUAUUUCAAACUGAAAACCACAAAAACCAGGCUCUUUUAAAAGGUAUGCUUUUAAUUUCGGGCAAUAUGUGUUGAGCUUUUAAAGUGACUUCCUAUAUAGGCUUGGGCAGCAAAUGUUUAAUUUUUGUUCAAAAUUUAAUUUAUGUGCCUUCAUACUACUGCUUUAUAGGUUAUAUGUUUUCCAACAAGGAAAUGCAUGUGUUUCGGAAAGACAUGUAUGUGUGUAAUUUAUUAUAAGGGCUUUUUAUGGACGAAAGUUUUCAACGCACACAGAAAUUACAUACAUGUAUGUGAAGAUCUCAAAAUCACAGGGUCCUCUAACAGGCCCUCUAACAGGAAUUGAAAUUUGGUCUUGUGAUUUUCAAUUCUCCUAGAAUGAGUGAAUGAGGAUGUGCUAGCCUAGGUUUCAGUUCCUCUCUUUGAUAUUGGAUUCAUUAACACUUUAAGAGUUUUUUUGUUAGCGUUGUUAUCGUAUUCUUUCCUGUAUGGAGGCGUUCUGUUUUUCUGAGUAAAAUCCUCUGGAGGCGUUUCCUUUUUCGAGCAAAAUUACCUGGCAUUAGAUUAGAAUAAUAUUACUAAGACAUUAAUUCAGCAUCUAUAAGUUCAAUUAAUACAGCCAAGAAGUAAAAAAAAGAUUGUACAUGUUAAAUGUAGUUUAAUAGAGCUCACUUAAUGUAUUACUACUGUAUGCUUUCCUUAUUCUUUGUUGACAAGUUUAAGACUUUAACCCAUAAUACUGGCAGAGCUCAAGUACCUGACUGACGAGUAAAAUUGUCUGGUGUUAGAUAGAGUAUUGUAAAUACUAAAGUAGGGUGCAUUGCCAGUCAAUGGGUUAUUAGUGGUGGCAAGUUUAAUAAGAAGCAAGUAAAAUUUAUUGUAAAAACAACUCAAGUUUACUACGAAGGAAAUCUUUUUGUAUAAUGAGUUUCUGUUGAUAAAUUAAUCUCAUUCAGGGCCAGUAUUUCUUCAUGACGUAAUCCAUAAACUUGCUUUGAGUCCAAUUAGUGAUCAAAAUAUUUAACCUCAAUAGCUGGGUUUCAGUCAUGUGACAUGUUUAGUGCUUAAGGUGGUCAACUCCAAAUGGAAGCACAUUUGAAUCGAGUUAAAUAUUCAUCAUGUUAAGUAUUGAUCUUCAGUGUUUGGUAUCAAAUAUAUGUAAUUUUAAUGAAAUUUACUUGCUACCACAAGGCAUAAAGUGGCAAUAUGUGUAAAGUUGACCUGGCCAAGCGUUUCCCUAUUGUAUAAGUCUUGAGUGAAACCCAUCUGUUAAGGGAAAAUGCAUGCAAAAUUGUGCUUCACUUUAUUAUACUUUGUCUAAUGCCAGACAAUUUUACUCAUCAUGCUGGAGAGUGCUGCCAAGCGUUAAGUUGUUGCGAAAAUUUUCGUUUGAUUUAAAUUGGAUAAGACUCCUAACCAAUCCCCACAGUUGACUCAAUUUUAAAUUAUGGUGGUGAGAGCGGUGAUGUAGAAACCCGAUGAUGCAAGCUCAAAUCACGCUUGAGACGACUAUAAACCAAUUUAUUGUUCUCUGACAAAAAUUAUUCUCUGACAACGAAAACCAAAUUAUUAAUGUGGGGCAUGUAUUCUUAGCAUAUUUUAAUAAGCUUAAAAUUAAUAAUGUUAAUAUUCUUAAUUAAGUAUUAAUUAAAAUAUUUUAUUGAGGGGUGUAAUUUUGGUACUGAUCCUGAAUACUAUCCAGAGAUGUAUAAAAGUCCUGAUCAAAGCACUUAAAAUAACAAAUUUUUUUAGGAAUCUGAAAUGUAAAGGGAAAUACAAUACAAUACAGUACAAUACAAUUUAUUUAACGUGAAACUUAGCUACAUGACACUUGGCUAAUUUACAGGUAAUACCAUGAAAAUUAUUAUGUAUCUAUAUAUCUAUAUAAAUCUAACUAAAAAACUAUUUACAGUAAUUAUGCAUUGAAAAUAUCCAGAAUAUGCUCAAUGUCAUUUAUACUGUUUUUUAAAGCCUUAUAGUUCUCUGCCAAUCUAACUAGGUCGGGAGGAGUAUGUGUUCCGUACAUAAUCGUAAACAACAACCAUGCAUAUAUAGAGGUCUUGAAGGCGAAUAACAGUCUGUAUUGGGUGUGUGUUCACCUAUUUGUUUAUAUUUGUGUCGAUGUUUGUGAUUCAUGAAAUUUGAAACCUGCAUUCCCCAAACAAAACAUAGCUAAAUCCAGACACAAAUAAUGGAAUAAUUAAAUUACCCCAAGGAGCUCAACACAAUAUUAACCCAUUACCCCCCCCCCCCUUAUUACUGAGCUAGUCAGACUCGCAGAGAUACAGUAUAUGACUCUAGUAAUUUCAACGUGGAACAUGUUUUCCCUUCUCAGACAGCACAUCUUGAUAUUCUGAUAGAUUGUGAUUCCAUUAUCUACUGCAGAAUAAUGAGAGACAGUAAUAUAAAAAAUACAUAUGAAUUAAAGUGUGUUAAGGGCAUUGCCUUAUUGGUCAUUGGUCAAGUGUGUUCUUAAAUGUGUGCCAAUGGCAAUAGGUUAACCCCAUUAGAUGCAAAAUGUGUUCUAUUAAAUAUGCAUCUGUAAAUUCUUUUAAGCUGUUUCACUGUUGAAUACGGACAAUAAUAUUUGCCUGAAUAAUAACAAAACUUCAGUUGGUAGAGUCAUGAAACUACCAAAAAAAAUACAAGGAGAAAUUUGAAAUUAUAAGUAUUAGGCCCUUCGCCGGGAAGUUACCAGACGUGUUGGCCAACUUGCAUGUACAACAAAAUUCCCAGAAUGGGCACAUUGCGACUUAAAUAACCGGUUUCAAGAAAACUGUCACAACUUACAGGAACAUAAGGAUGCUACAGGAAAAAUCUAUAUAGGAUAUAUAACACUGGAAGAUAUUAAUUUUUAUACAAAGUUAUUGUUUUUAACAUUGUUUUGACUACAGUAUAAUUAGAAAUUAUGCAAUAUUGGCUUGACAGCAACAAUGAAAAGCAACUUUCUGACAGGAAACUCCCUUCCUGAUACCAUUAAGAACUCUUUAUUAUAUGUUCUGUAAAAGAAGUUUGUUAAUUGGCAGAUUCAGUCUGGUGACAUUAAGUUUGAACUCAUUGAUCGAGUUGCAUUGUACCCCAUAUUUGUACCCUACUUAUUAUUUUAAUUACUCUGUUAUUAGCCAGGCCAUUUAAUUUACUUGUCAACAGGAGAGUUCGUAUGUUCAAAUUGGGUUAAGUAUGCCACAGGAUCUGAAAUUUGCAGUAUAUCCCAAUUAUAUCCACUGGAUACUAAAAUUUGGUUUUGGAUGCCAAACUGUGAAUGAUUUUAUAAAUAUUCUCAACUGGAUACUAAGAAAAUUUCAAACAUCAGGAAAAUGUUAAUUAAAUUAUUCUAAGCACCUCUGACAGUAGGCUCGAUUAUCUGAGCUGGCAUUCCGGGAAUCUCCCCCGAAACUCUGACAGUCUCCUCAUAGCUUUUGAAGUUAAUGAACUAUGAGUUUGCCACCCAAGCCUUUCCUCAUAUGUUAUGUGCAUUUUUAUGACACAUUAAGUCCCCAUUGAGUCACAUUGCACUCUGGUGCGCUUUACUCAGUGGCGUAACCGAGGGGUGUUUGGGUGCUCAUUGGCGGGGGGCCCCCAACAAGAAUGAUCAUAAAAUUUUUGCUAGUACAUUGGGCAAAUUGGUCCUCAGCUUGACAGUUAUAGAUCGGGCCAGAAAAAUUGCAACGGGCCGCCCCCAAAAGCAGGAAUUGGUAAAAUUGUAAAAUUUAAUUAGACUCCUUUUUUUAGUAAAUUACACGGAUGUGAAAAAUUUUUGCGGAUUCUUUUUUACAUGUCAAUUAGUCUGGAAAUUUUUUUAAUUAACCUUUUUUUAAGGAAUAUGGUUCGAAACAUUUUUUGUCGCCCCCCCCCCCCUGCCUGCUCGCCAACUUUUUCCGGGAAGAAAUAAAAAUUAAAAAAAAUUUACCUAAUUAAAGCCCCGUUUACACUAUGCUCAAUUCUUGGUACGGUGCGGAUAAAAUUGGUACCCGUACCACUUUUUUGGUUCUUGGACUACAUAUAUUUUGAGCCCUGUUUACACUACGCUCGAUUUUUGGUACCGUACCACUUUUUUGGUUCUUGGACUACCUAUUUACUGUAGGUUAAGUCCAAGAACCAAAAAAGUGGUACGGGUACCAAUUUUAUCCAUGCCGUACCAAAAAUUGAGCGUAGUGUAAACAUGCAGGGCUUAAAACUUAAAAAUUUUACGGGGGGCCUAAAGAGGUUUCGUUACGCCACUGGCUGUACUUUAUUAUUUUACUCAGUCUAACGCCAGAUUAUUUUACUCCAUAUAUAUAACGGUAACAUAUUAUAUGAUAACAUAUAGAGUAGAUUACGGAAAUUAUUCUUUCCAGUAUAGAGUACAAUAUAUAUUUAUGUAAUUAAUUAAUAAUUCUAUAUAGUAAUAGCUAGUGUGUACUCUAGAUCUUGAUAAACUGACGAAAAAUUACCUGAUAGAGAACUUAUUAAUUUUAGUAUUAAAUAUUUUGUCACGGGGGACUAUAUUUGCAAAAGCCUUUUGGUUUAUUAUGGUCCUUGAUCUGUCCAAAUAUGUAUAAUGUAAACUAGUACAUAAAUAUAUAUAUAACUUACGAAAUGUAUUGUAAACAUAUUUGGAAAAAAAAAUAUAUAUAUAUUAAUAUUAAUAUAAAAUAUUAAAUAUUAAUAUAUAUCUAACGCCAAACGAUUUUACUCGUCAAGGGGAGAUCGCUGGUGCUUUUAAUAAUGGUUAAUGAAUUGUCUAAAUUAGUUGACUGUUGAAUCUCCUGUGUUACUUCAUAUAGUUAUAAUUCGUAACAGCGAGAGUUAUGGAAACCUAUUUGAAUGGGACAGGGUAUAUUAUACUAAUGCCGUAAAACUGGGGAAAAAUUUAAAUUUUAGACCAGACUUGCAUCAUAUGAUGACUUGUACUAUUUAUUAACUUCAGAUAGCCAAACGUUUCAAUUUACUUUACUUCUAAAUUUUGAAAUACGCUCUUAAAUAAUUUUUUUUUUUUAGGAUUGGAAAGAAAUUACAAGUUAUCCAUUUUUGUGCAAAAUAAACCAUGAUUUGGUUGAUUGUACUUGCCUUCUCCUUUGCAUGUGGUAAGUAUAUGACCGGGGUAACACAGGGCAAUUUGUAUUGGUAAAAUUAACGCUAGUGAAAAGCUAGGGGUCUUGUCUAGCACCCCUUACGGAAGUCCAUGUAGGACCACCCUAAAAAAUCUGCUUAAUUAAUUAACCAAACAUUUUCUCGGUUAGUGGAACUUUUUAAUACUCAGAAUGCUUUAGUUAAAUAUCAUGGUUAAAUAUGUACACUUGUCGAGGGUGUUAUAUCUGUAGCACAUAUAUUCUCAAACAAGGGUGGGUAGUAGCGAAGUAGUUGUAGUUGGCUACUGUAGCGAACUACAAUUUUCAAGUAGCCUGUAGUUUUUGACUACUUUUUCAAAACAGUAGCUGUAGUUAUAGCGAACUACAUUUUGCCUAAAAGUAGCCAAGUAGUUGACUACUUUUCAAACAGCAAAUCGCUAUUCGCUACUUUUUAAAAUUGUUAGCAACUUGAUAGAAUAGAAUGUUAUUAAGACACAGUUUGCUUUACGAAUAAAGUAUGCCGUGCAACUGUUCAAACUGUGCAAGUGCAUGCCGUCUUAUUUAGCCUACUCGCGUAAGUCGAUUUGUUAUAGGUUAUACAUUACAGCCUGAGCUAUAAUAGAUGUUCCAAAUACAGUAAAGUUAAAAAAUAUUGAGUAGCAAAAUAGCGAAAUAGUUCGCUACAUUUUUUAAGCAGUAUCUGUAGUCAGUAGCGAACUACUUUUGUUCAAAAUUAGCUGUAGUUGUAGCUGACUACAUAUUUUUGAAGUAGCUGUAGUUAUAGCGAACUACAAAAAGUUUGUAGUCAACCCCCCCUUGUUCUCAAAUAUACUGUACUUGAACAAGCAAAUUCACUGUACGGUGCUACAGUACUGACAUCACACAGGCGUGAUAAAAAGCCAAAUGAAUAUAAACUUUAUAAAUUAAUGAUAAUGUAAAACAUAACCGAAUUAUGGCGAACAUGCAGAUUCAGGCUAUUCGGCCAUCUCAAAGUAGUGGUCCAAUCGGGGCCUACCCUCGUCGGUCUAUUGUUGCUACACAAGAACCCCAGAGUACUGUAGGCUUGCAAAUAGUUAUUUUACUUGGAAGGACAAAUGUCUGGCCAAUAGCCAAAAAUUGGUCGGACAUUUAGCAAUUUUUUUCAGACAAUUAAUGGACAAAGUAAAAUUUUUUCAUAUUUUGAAAAGUAGCACAAUGUAUUUUUCUGCCUCAUGGUCAUCUUUGUCCGUACUGCAAUUAAAUGUAUUUAAAACUUAGUAUACUAGUCCUAAUUAUUCAUCAGGAAAUUAUGGUUUAGGUUAUAUAUAACUUUAAUUUCUACCAUGCAGGCCUCAAAUUUCUCUGAAAUCAAUCAACAGCAAUGGUGUUAAAAAUUGCCGUAGAACAUAACAGCUGUCUACGACAAGUUUGGCAGUUUCCACGGCAUUUUUCAAAUUACUGUAAUAAAACUUUAAUUUAAUUGUUACUUUGGAUUUUUGACAAGCUAGAAACAUGUCUACGUAUUUCUUUAUUGUUUUUUUUUUCGAAGAAAACUGAGACUAAAAUAAUGAUUUUACGCAUGAUUUGAUCAACAUCUGAAUUCAAAUAUCAAAGUAGUAAUGCACAGUGAAUAGUAUAAAAAUUGCACUAUACGGCAAAAAAUUGCCGCCGUUGCCGCAAUGAUCCACGGCAUUUUGUUCUCCCUCUACGGCAAUUGCCGCGAUAAAAUUCGAGCCCUGCUUCCAUGUCCAUGUACAUGAAGAUGAUAUUGAUUUAUAAUUAAAUCUUAAUGCGUAGCCUUAAUGCCGCACGAAAUAGUGGAGAAGUACAUGUACUGUCUAUAUUGCUUUCUUGUUGGUUUCAUUAAUAAAAAAUGUGUAAAAUAAACAAUUUUUGAGGUUGCAUGCAGGGAUGCAGGAACCACGGGUGCAGCAGGUGCAAGUGCACCCCUUGCCUUUUGCAUUUUCAACUUUGUGGGUGCAGUGCGGGUGCAGACUACUGUAUGGGUGCAACGGGUGCACAAAACGUUUACAACAGACAUAAUUAAACGACGCUCGAGUGUGUGUGUGGGGGUGUUCUACCCCCCAGUUGUCAGGAAGUCGGCAAAGUUGUUAUCCAUUUGGCAAAAGGUGAACUGGCAAAGCCGUUACUUAUAGUGGAAUUUUUGGUGAGAAAUUACGGAGGAAUUGUGCCUAAAUAAUUGUAUUCGGUCCGAAAAAAUUUGGUGACGGGGAGGGAGGUCGACACGAAUGUAAUGGAUCAUGCCGCCCUUUCAUUUUCAUUGGUGCCCUUUUGUUAAGGAGUUUGCCCUCUUGUUAACCAGUUGCACCCCUUGCCCUCAGCAACUUCCGGUAGAUAUCCCUGGUUGCAUGAGAUUUGACUAGCCUAAUCGGUCGGUCACAUGUCCGGCCAUAAACAGCUUUGAUCGGGCAAAAGCUAAAAUUUCAAAAUUUGGCCGGACAUUAUGGCCAAUGACCGGUCGGCACUUAACAACACUGGUCAUACAUGUACGGGUUCCCUUGAUGACUUUAAAAUUCUUUCGUCUUGCCCUUCUGGCGAGCUUAUGAUCCACGAAAGCGUUCUCAUUUCCAAACUUAAACCUACCCUGAACGUACAAGGCAGUUCAGUCUCCUUUCUUCUUCUACUCCAAUCCCUUUUCCUUACUCUAUGUACUUCUGCUCCCUUUCUUAUAUACUUGUAAUUCUAUUAUACUUGUAAUUCUAUACUCUGUAAUAGACCUUUCCCCUUAUGAGUGAAAUUUUGAUCUAGAUAAUAAUAAUAAUAAUAAUAUUUAAUAAUGCCUGGACAACAAUUUCAUCACAGCUUGAAAGAGCAUCACAAAAUUAGUAAUAUUCCGAAGUUUCGUUGCGAAAUGUUGUAAAAUGCGGAUAAUAUAGCCUUGCGAAGUUUGCCGUUUUUCAGUCAUUUUGCAUUACAAUCUAACAUUUUGCAUCAGUUUGAUCAUCUGAUUAUCAAUUUCCCGUUUGUACAGUAAUACCAAAUGACUGAAAAACGGCAAACUUCGCAAGGCUAUAUAAUCCGCAUUUUACAACAUUUCGCAACGAAACUUCGGAAUAUUACUAAUUUUGUGAUUCCCUUUCAUGCUGUGAUGAAAGUUUUGUCCAGACUUGUCUUGAUCAAAAUUUCACUCAAAAGGGGAAAGGUCUAUUAGUAUUAGUAUUAGUUGUAAUUUAUGCAUAUAUAACUUUGUAAUUUUAUAUCAUUCUUUACUCUGAAGAUGUCUUAAGUGCAAGACGAAACGUUAGUUCUGUAAAUAUCAAAUUUAUGAAAAUUUCUCUUUGUUAUAUGGCUAUUAUUACAUACGGGCAUUAUGCUGGGCAUUGAUAUUUAUUAUUAGAACAGGAUAUUAAGUUUACUGCCGCUUGUUCAAUGUACAAAAUAUUACAUAUUUUACUGUUCUCGUUCAGGGCAAGAAGAGGUUGUUCCUAAGAUUAUCAUGGAUGCCGAAGACUAUUAUGGCUUCCCAGAUAGGUUCUCCUAUUUGAAAGUACAAACAAAUACUGCUGCUGGAGCGACAUUUCAUUGGCUGCGAGAUGGGGUUAAGAUAACAAAAGAAACCACGCCUCCAUUUAGUCAAUAUGACAGCAAGAUAUUGUUGCCCACAACUCAGGGCAAAGAAUAUGCUGGUACUUACCAGAUUGUAAUGAAUGCCAAAGCUGGAACAAUCAAGG
rnacentral:lncRNA from 1 species